rnacentral:lncRNA from 1 species
AUGGAAGAAAACCUGGUCCAGGUCAGUCCACGAUGGAAGAAAACCUGGUCCAGGUCAGUCCACGAUGGACAUGAACAAACACUGUAGAUCCAAACCAGAACUAAACACCUUCAAUAUCCAGGAUGUUCUCUGGAAUAUCAGAGAGGCUGACAGUUAGCAUUAACUGCUGAGUGAGCCAUCUACAUCCUUUUAGGUCUAUAAUCAGGUUAGUAUAACAUGUUCGCACUUAGAGGACGUAGAGUCAGAUUACAGCGGUCUGGAGUCGACAGUAGAGAUAAACUAGUCCUCUGGAACCGUCUCUAAUAUUAUAUAAUAAUAUUAUACUAUGUUAUUAAUAUAUCAUGUUAUUAUUAUACUAUGUUAUUAAUAUAUCAUGUUAUUACUGUAUAAUAUUAUAGUAUCAUGUAAUUUGACACCGUAACAGAGGUCUCAGAGUCUCAGAGUCUCAGAGUUUUAGUAAAACAGGAUUUUCUGUUCGGCCAACGUUAGACGACAGCGUUGGUUUUAGGACUGGGUGAUUUUAUGAUUGUUAGAAAUUUCAGUUCGAUCGCAGUGAUCAGCUGUGAGCUUAUUUACUCGAUCAAUCAUAGUGGAAGUAUGCGUCACAACAGCCAAUCAGAGUCGAGCUUUUCCUGCUCACGUCUGUAAGUUACCGGAGAAGAAGUAAACAAAAUGACCGAACGAGGAGCUGAGGACAGUAAAGUAAAUGUCAGCCGUGACUUCGAGUCCUCCUCUGAAGAUGUUAUUGUUGAGAGGUUAUUGAUCGUCGGUUGUGUGGUGGUGGUUCAGGUAUCUCCAAAGUAACGUCGAGUAAUUAAGCCGAUGUGUAAGGUAUGUCGGCGUUUGGUGCCUCAAAAACCGUCGACAAAACAGAUCUGUUUAUUUAAAGAAGUUCUUCCUGAUUGAUUAUGAGGAAACAUGAAAAUGUGGGCGGAGUCUGUACAGCCUGUCACUGCUGACAGUACGAGUAGCAUUAGCAGUUUAGCUAAAACUAGCGACGCAGCCACCAGACCAAAGUAAUCAAUCAAUCGUAUCAUCUACAUUUAUAUCAUUAAUGUUUACAUUUUAAGACGUCUUCAUGAUCUCUGAGGAAAGAUGAUGAAGACGGGGUCAGAAACACUCAGAACUGUAAACUAGUUCACUGGAUUAUUGAGUAUUUAUCUAUGUUUGUUGUUCUGUCGAGUUAAAAUGGUUUUUUACAUUUUUCUAAGUUUAUCUUAUUUAAUUUUCUUUGUUAUUGACUUUGUCUGUUAAUAAAGUGUUGAACUAAUCUGUAGUGUCUUUAGUUUUUAGUUCAGAUGCUUUAAAACUGUCUGUUUUUAAAAAAACGUGAUAAUAAUCGAGAUCGGACGUUAUGACAGAAUAUAUCAUGAUCAUAUUUUUUGCCAAAUCGCUCAGACGGAGUUGGAAUUAAACUCCAUCUUUGAGUUUUAACUCUGAGUUUGGAGAAUCUCACCAUCAGACAUCCUUCCUGUCCAACGCCACAGUUCGCUCAGAGUUUAUGGCGGUCCAUCAUGUUAUGAUAGGAGCUGGGAGGUGACACCGUUGGGUUUUCAUUUUAAGCAGUUUGUCAGACUUACAGGGUUAGUAACAUCAGCACC